ACAAAACUUAACCAACAAGGACGUGGAUUGGCUUCUGGUACAACUCGAAAAUGUAAAGGGCCCGACACGCAUUAGUACGAGUACAAUCACGCUGAUUUCAUUUGGGAACGCCGGUGGGUUUCUUCAAGGUUUAAAAGCCCCAACUGCACAUCCGCACGAGCCAGGCAACUUGAAUUUUUCGAUGGUGAAAGGAAAUGCGUAAUCGCUGGGAUUGAAGACCAAAAAACGGUGGAAGAUGUUCUUCUGGAUGCAUUUGGAAUCGUAGCAGGACGGGACCAGUGGGCAGACAGUGCCAACAACCACGUCACAUUCCUCAACUCGAGCCGUCUGGGUGUAUUUGACGCCGUAGGACUCUACUCCAUUGACGAUGGUCCGCCACUUGCCUUCGACGUUAAUGGCCCGUAGAGGACGGACGUACUCGGUGGAGCUCGGACAAAGCUAUGUUUGGCUGCCGUAUUGGUUGGAGCUGUUGCUGUGCCGGAGCCGGAUGCUGACCCCCAAACUUAUUCAAAACCUGCCUACCCAG
rnacentral:misc_RNA from 1 species